rnacentral:rRNA from 1 species
GUGAGGAAUUUUCCGCAAUGGACGAAAGCCUGACGGAGCAAUGCCGCGUGAAGGAUGAAGGCCUAUGGGUUGUAAACUUCUUUUCUCAGAAAAGAAUUAUGACGGUAUCUGAGGAAUAAGCAUCGGCUAACUCUGUGCCAGCAGCCGCGGUAAGACAGAGGAUGCAAGCGUUAUCCGGAAUGAUUGGGCGUAAAGCGUCUGUAGGUUGUUUAAAAAGUAUUCUGUCAAAGAUUAGGGCUUAACCCUAGAUAGGCAGAAUAAACUUUUAAGCUAGAGUUUGGUAGAGGCAGAGGGAAUUCCCGGUGGAGCGGUGCAAUGCGUAGAUAUCGGGAGGAACACCAAAGGCGAAGGCACUCUGCUGGGCCAAUACUAACACUGAGAGACGAAAGCGAGGGGAGCAAAUGGGAUUAGAAACCCUUGUAGUCC